UACGUAGGGGGCUAGCGUUGUCCGGAAUCAUUGGGCGUAAAGCGCGCGUAGGUGGCCCGGUAAGUCCGCUCUGAAAGUCACAGGCUCAACCUGUGAAAGCGGGUGGAUACUGCCGGGCUAGAGUCCGGAGGAGGCGAGUGGAAUUCCUGGUGUAGCGGUGGAAUGCGCAGAUAUCAGGAGGAACACCAACGGCGAAGGCAGCUCGCUGGGACGGUACUGACACUGAGGCGCGAAAGCGUGGGGAGCGAACAGG
rnacentral:rRNA from 1 species